ACAUCUUGACAAACUAUCUGGGAAAAUCCAGCAUCUGAAGGAGCAGAAUAAGUGUGAUGUUCCUGAUGAUGUAAGCAUUAUUCAUCUGAAAACCAUGUGGAUUCCUUUUAAGUAGCUACUGUGUUCAGCUGGAGAGAUCACCAAAAAGAGGAAGUGGCUGGAGUGGAAUAUAGAAAACUGCUGUUUUCACUUCAGAUUUUGCAGUGACUAGCAGAUGCUUGGCUAUUGUUUCAAGCAAGCGGAAUCCAAGCAGUAAAGACAAGCACCUCACAAACAAAUGUUUGUUAGAAUAAUCAUGUAAUGAAACAAAGAAUGAGAAUAAGAUUAAGGUUCUGACACUACACUUCAACAAACACGACUGUACCAGUUAGCAUCAAAUAUAGAUGAAUGCUUUGGAACUGAUGCUGAACUGUAAGUAUAAAUUAUAUGCCAGGUUUAAGUUAUAUGAACCAGUCAAGCAUUUUCAGUUAUCAAUCUCUUUACAGCAGUACUGUGUUUUAGUUCAACUGCUUCAGAUAGU